GAUGAACGCUGGCGGCGUGCCUAAUACAUGCAAGUCGAGCGAAUUCCUUCGGGAAUUAGCGGCGGACGGGUGAGUAACACGUGGGUAACCUGCCUGUAAGACUGGGAUAACUUCGGGAAACCGAAGCUAAUACCGGAUAAUUUUUCGAGUCGCAUGACUUGAAAUGGAAAGAUGGCUUUUAGCUGUCACUUACAGAUGGACCCGCGUCGCAUUAGCUAGUUGGUGAGGUAACGGCUCACCAAGGCUACGAUGCGUAGCCGACCUGAGAGGGUGAUCGGCCACACUGGGACUGAGACACGGCCCAGACUCCUACGGGAGGCAGCAGUAGGGAAUCUUCGGCAAUGGGCGAAAGCCUGACCGAGCAACGCCGCGUGAGCGAUGAAGGCCUUCGGGUCGUAAAGCUCUGUUGUUAGGGAAGAACACGUGCGAGAGUAACUGCUCGUACCUUGACGGUACCUAACCAGAAAGCCACGGCUAACUACGUGCCAGCAGCCGCGGUAA
rnacentral:rRNA from 1 species